ACCGUCUUCACCGCAUCUUGUUAACUCCUCUCACUCAGAGCAAAGAAGAGGAAGAAGGCAGACGCUUUGGAGCAUCCAUCAGACAACUCUCUCUGACAGACAGGUAUUGUUCAGAUUGAUAGACCCUGCGAGGAACAAAAAGAUGGCUGGCCUGUGUUGGAUUUCUGUGCUGCUGGCAGUCAGUCUGUCUAUUGGAGACUGUGUCCCAUUGGAUCUAGCUUACGUUACAAGCAUUGCUGAACGCAUCGAGACCAACUACCUAAUCCGAACUGGCAGUUCAGUGUGGCUGUAAACAUCCCAGAGGACCAGAGGAGAUUGGCUGAGGCCUUUUAUAAUAUCGAUUUUAACCCUACAACUUUUGUGAAACAAAAUAAUGUGUACAUAGGUAGGAAUGCUGUUGUGGCAAUUCCUCAGGUGAAAGAAUCCAACAACAGAAAAACCUACACUGAUCACGCAGAGGCACAGGUACUGGACAAUUUAGCCAAUUUAUAUAACACACGUCAGGGUAACAUUCUGGUCCUCUACUCCUGGCUUUCUCCAUGUGGUGACAAAUGUACAAACAGUAACAACUAUAACAAUAUCUUGCAAAAGAUCAAAAAUACGGUUACAGGAAAAUGGACAAGCUACGCCUUUGUGUUUCAUACAGUAUUUACUGGGUCCCCGAACAGGCCAGCUACUGAAGCUGAAAUCAAAGAGACAUUUCAUAAUCUUAGAACAGUAAUAAACGACGACAACAUUUUCCGUUGUUACAACCCAAUUAAUAGCAGAGUACUCAAAUGCGUCAAGUGCUUCCAGACUGUAGGUGCCUCCAAUCAAGUUCAUCUUGAGAAUGAGUGUUUUCAAAAUUAGGAAUAAAUGUGUGAAGGCCACAAGAGGAUCUGAUAGGGGCCUAAACACAACUGUUCCUUAAUGCUCAACAAUGCACCUGCUGCUUUAAACUGCAGGCUUAUUACAUCGGCAUGCUAAGGACCCAAACACAUCUUAUCUUUGGUCCAAAAAUAAUCAACAUAACUUUAAUACAUUUCCUUCAACAUAACUUUGAGGUUUAUUUAAUGUUUACCAGAACUUUGACUUGUUUUGGUGUUGUACUAUGUUAAUGUUGUGAUUUACCUUCUGACCUUAUUGCAGUUUGGACUCUGUGUUGGUUUGGUUUGAGAGGCCUUUUCCGUUCUAUCCAAAGAACAAACAAAAAAACCCAACACAACACACCGAAUAAAUGAAGGACUGCGUAAAGUUAAAGUUUCGCACUUAUUUAACGGCUUAACAAUUUAAGGAAUUAUAGAAGGACAUUUGAUAUUUGGUUUGCAAAACAUAUUCUACCCUAUUUCAAAAGGUCAAAGAAAUGAAUUCAAUGAUGUUGUUCAAUGAUGUUGUUCAAUGUAUAUCAACCUCAGUUAUAGGAUUGAAGUGAUUUACUCAAUGCUUAUCUUAAACUUUACCAAAUGUUUUCUGCUUUUCCUGAUUAAAGCUUUGCUAAGCAUUCA